rnacentral:misc_RNA from 1 species
AACUUUUGGCAAUGGAUCUCUUGGCUCUCGCAUCAAUGAAGAACGCAGCGAAAUGCAAUAAGUAAUGUGAAUUGCAGAAUUCAGUGAAUCAUCAAAUCUUUGAACGCACCUUGCACCCUUUGGCAUUCCGAAGGGUAUGCUCGUUUGAGUGUCAUUGUACUCUCACACUCCCGAUGCUUUUGGAUUGGGAGUGGUGGACUUGGGUGUUGCUGCUUUACUGUGGCUCACCUCAAAUGGAGUAGUGCAACUCUUGAUUGGACAUAGUACGGCGUGAUAAGUGUCUUCGCUGGCGCCUCAUUAGAGGGUGGCUGAUCGGGAGCUCUGUGCUUCAAACCGUCUUCGGACAACAUCUGACAACUUGACCUCAAAUCGAGUAGGACUACCCGCUGAACUUAAGCAUAUCAAUAAGCGAGGCU